GCAGCCGCCGCGGUAAUACGUAGGUGGCAAGCGUUGUCCGGAAUUAUUGGGCGUAAAGCGCGCGCAGGUGGUUUAAUAAGUCUGAUGCGAAAGCCCACGGCUCAACCGUGGAGGGUCAUUGGAAACUGUUAAACUUGAGUGCAGGAGAGAAAAGUGGAAUUCCUAGUGUAGCGGUGAAAUGCGUAGAGAUUAGGAGGAACACCAGUGGCGAAGGCGGCUUUUUGGCCUGUAACUGACACUGAGGCGCGAAAGCGUGGGGAGCAAACAGGAUUAGAUACCCCUGUAGUCCCUGUCUCUUAUAC
rnacentral:rRNA from 1 species